rnacentral:rRNA from 1 species
GACGAACGCUGGCGGCGUGCCUAAUACAUGCAAGUAGAACGCUGAAGGAGGAGCUUGCUUCUCCGGAUGAGUGGCGAACGGGUGAGUAACGCGUAGGUAACCUGCCUGGUAGCGGGGGAUAACUAUUGGAAACGAUAGCUAAUACCGCAUAACAGUAGAUGUUGCAUGACAUUUGCUUAAAAGUUGCAAUUGCAUCACUACCAGAUGGACCUGCGUUGUAUUAGCUAGUUGGUGAGGUAACGGCUCACCAAGGCGACGAUACAUAGCCGCCCUGAGAGGGGGAUCGGCCACACUGGGACUGAGACACGGCCCAGACGCCUACGGGAGGGAGCAGUAGGGAAUCUUCGGCAAUGGACGGAAGUCUGACCGAGCAACGCCGCGUGAGUGAAGAAGGUUGUCGGAUCGGAGAGCUCGGUUGUAAGGGAAGAACGAGUGUGAGAGUGGAAAGUUCACACUGUGACGGUAUCUUACCAGAAAGGGACGGCUAACUACGUG